CAUUACCGAGUGAGGGCCCUCUGGGUCCAACCUCCCACCCGUGUCUAUUGUACCUUGUUGCUUCGGCGGGCCCGCCGCAAGGCCGCCGGGGGGCUUCUGCCCCCGGGCCCGCGCCCGCCGAAGACACCAUUGAACGCUGUCUGAAGAUUGCAGUCUGAGCAAUUAGCUAAAUAAGUUAAAACUUUCAACAACGGAUCUCUUGGUUCCGGCAUCGAUGAAGAACGCAGCGAAAUGCGAUACGUAAUGUGAAUUGCAGAAUUCAGUGAAUCAUCGAGUCUUUGAACGCACAUUGCGCCCCCUGGUAUUCCGGGGGGCAUGCCUGUCCGAGCGUCAUUGCUGCCCUUAAGCACGGCUUAUGUGUUGGGCCUCCGUCCUCCUUUGGGGGGACGGGCCCGAAAGGCAGCGGCGGCACCGCGUCCGGUCCUCGAGCGUAUGGGGCUUCGUCACCCGCUCUGUAGGUCCGGCCGGCGCCUGCCGAACACAUCAAUCUUUUUUCCAGGUUGACCUCGGAUCAGGUAGGGAUACCCGCUGAACUUAAGCAUAUCAAUAAGCGGAGGAAAAGAAACCAACAGGGAUUGCCUCAGUAACGGCGAGUGAAGCGGCAAGAGCUCAAAUUUGAAAGCUGGCCCCCUCGGGGUCCGCAUUGUAAUUUGCAGAGGAUGCUUCGGGAGUGGCCCCCAUCUAAGUGCUCUGGAACGGGCCGUCAUAGAGGGUGAGAAUCCCGUAUGGGAUGGGGUGUCCGCGACCAUGUGAAGCUCCUUCGACGAGUCGAGUUGUUUGGGAAUGCAGCUCUAAAUGGGUGGUAAAUUUCAUCUAAAGCUAAAUAUUGGCCGGAGACCGAUAGCGCACAAGUAGAGUGAUCGAAAGAUGAAAAGCACUUUGAAAAGAGAGUUAAAAAGCACGUGAAAUUGUUGAAAGGGAAGCGCUUGCGACCAGACUCGCCUGCGGGGUUCAGCCGGUAUUCGUACCGGUGUACUUCCCCGUGGGCGGGCCAGCGUCGGUUUGGGCGGCCGGUCAAAGGCCCUCGGAAUGUAACGCCUCUCG
rnacentral:rRNA from 1 species